UGCUACUCCCAGGACAGAGGUUCUCCCGAUCCCAUCACUGGCUUGCACCUGGUGUGCUGGGACAGUCAUUGCCGCCGAACUUCCCCGCAAGUGGGACUUGGAGGAUCAUCCUUGCAGACAACAUGGACAGGGACAGAGCGGAGAGGAGAAAGGCGCCGGAAAAGGAGAGGAAUGUGCAGCAGGAGAUGCUUGUACAUCUCAGGCAGCAGACAGACAUGCUGCAGUCAGACUCUGGUGGACCUGCAGGUUCAACAAUCCCAUGCUAAACCUCUCUCUGCAGCCCAUAGAGAACUGCAUAUCAGGACCUCCCUACACCCCUGCAACAUUCCCCAUGGCAUCAGGCAUUGCUGAACUACCCCUACCCCUCCACUUCUGGGACAUUAAAGACAUUCACAGCUUCACAUGUCUUUCACAGCAAGCUAGCCUCCAGAGAAUCAUCACGUUCCCUGUGGCUCCUCUUGCGGCUCUGCAAAUACCGGAGGAUCAGGUGGAUAUGCGCGCAACACUCAUCACAAUAGUGCAGAGCUGUGCAAGAUCUAUGCUUCUGUCACAGAUGGCAGACCGUGAGGAGGGACGUUCAGGUUUGUGCAGGUGAUUUUGAAAAGGACACAAAAUAUCAUGGGAUGCAGAUGAAAUUAUGAGAUAGAGAACACUGCAUUGUAGGAAGUUGAACCCAUGCUACCAGACACCCUGUGUGAUUCGUUUCAGCCCCACGAAGCAUUGCAAAACCUUCUCAAAACACCCUGCGCUACAUGGCGGCAAGUUGCACAAUGGGACAGCUACCCACAGUUCACUGCUCUCUGCAUCAAUACAAGCGCUCCUAGUGAGAAUGCGCACUGCCGACACAAGGAGCAUAAUGUGGACACACAGAAGCAAUGUAAUAACUGCAGCAGCUUUGUGCCAGCAUAAUUUAGGUCUACAUAAUUUUGUAGUGUACACAUGGCCCAAAUCUCCUCUGCUGCUGACUGCUAUUAAUAUAGCUGCAUGUUUUACAACCCUUAUUUUUGCCAAAGGUUCAUUAUGCUAGGAGCAGACAACUAUCAUUUCUCCAGUUCUACAUUUAAGCUAACUGAGAUUGCACAAGGUCACAUCAGGUAGAACUGGGAUUAGAACUCAACUCUCCAAUAGUAUAGACCCAAGUCACUUGAAUGCUAACACAGUCUUUUGCCACAAAGUUGUUCACUGUAUAUGUUUUCUAGCCACUGCUGAAAUCAAUAGAAAUGUUUCCCUUCCAGAUCCAGGAACAGAACCCAAGAAUUCUGAUUUCUCACCAUCCUUGGUCAUUAAAUGGCUAUGCAGCCCACUUGAAAAGUGUGUUAGUUCAAGUGGUUAAGAGAAGGCAUUCAGCUGGGAAGGCCUUGUGUUCAAACUCAGUUGCUGAUCCGUGAUGGGGAUGCUGUGGUUCUAAGUGAUGGAAUUUCUGUUCUGCUAAUUAAGGUUGUAAUGAAGUUUAUUUUUAAAACCAAAUUUUGUCAGAUUUGAGAGGAUGCAAAUUGUCAAAUCAGCCUGAACUUAUGUUGAGGGCCUGAGAGACGGUCCAUGAAGUCACUCCUAGGAGAGCCAAGGUCUUUCUGUGAUGCUCUGUACCUCGGGGGAACACCCAGCACCCCCAUGUUCAUCCUUGUAAAAUGAUUGUG